CCUACGGGAGGCAGCAGUGGGGAAUAUUGGGCAAUGGAGGAAACUCUGACCCAGCAACGCCGCGUGAAUGAUGAAGGUCUUCGGAUUGUAAAGUUCUUUUCUAAGGGAAGAAGAAAGUGACGGUACCUUAGGAAUAAGCCUCGGCUAACUACGUGCCAGCAGCCGCGGUAAUACGUAGGAGGCAAGCGUUAUCCGGAAUGACUGGGUGUAAAGGGUGCGUAGGCGGCUUUGCAAGUCAGAAGUGAAAUCCAUGGGAUUAACCCAUGAACUGCUUUUGAAACUGCAGAGCUUGAGUGGAGUAGAGGUAGGCGGAAUUCCCGGUGUAGCGGUGAAAUGCGUAGAGAUCGGGAGGAAAACCAGUGGCGAAGGCGGCCUGCUGGGCUCUAACUGACGCUGAGGCACGAAAGCGUGGGUAGCAAACAGGAUUAGAUACCCGUGUAGUC
rnacentral:rRNA from 1 species